CCUGUGCACUCCUGGCUGAAACUGAGCCCCUCCAGAGCUUGCAGAGGAGCUGCUAUCAGAAUGCCAGUCAUACUGAAAGCUCAGUAGCUGCUCACCUAAGGAGUCCAUUGUUGAACUAUCAGAAGCAGAAAACCACUGA